AAGCAAGCAGCGGCAGCGACCGAAUCUAGCCAUGGAGACGACGGCGCUCCUCCGAGUUCUCGGCCACUUCCCUUCUGCCAUUACAACAGCCGGCGCUGCAUUGCAAUCGCGCAACCCUAAACCUUUUUCACACUUUCCCCCUUUCCGCCGCCCAGCCAUCGAGUUCGAAAUCCGAACAACUCCCCACGUCUCCGCCGUGCCCUCUCCGGCCCCCAUCUUUCUCCCUCAUCUCCAGUUCGAUGACGACGGCGAGCUCGAAUUCCACCACCACCAACGCCAGCAACAAGGACAACAAGUAGUGGAGGAGGAGGAUGGCGAGGAAGACGAUGGGGAAGGACUUUCCGAUUCUAUCCUCGAUUUCUUCAAGUCCCGCUCGUCCUUGACUGAGGACCCAAAGAAGGAAGGUCGCUUCUCUCUACAGAGCAAUCGACGCACCUCUUGGCACCUUGCCGAUGUCGAACAUGCCGCUGAUAUCGUGGAGGAAGAGCCAGCGGUCGCUUCCCCUUCUGGCGUCACAGAGCCUCCGCAGUCGAUCAAUUUUGGAGUCUUCGACGAGAUAUUGGCCGUCGCAAGUAGCCUCCCAGAAAACGCCACAUUGGGGGAUUUCCUGGGGCCUUAUGCUGGGAAGGUCGGAGAAGGAGACUGCAUCGAGCUGCUGGUGAGGAUGGGGGAGGAGGGCUUGGCUUCCGCGUGCUUGUACUUGUUUGAAUGGAUGGGGCUGCAGGAGCCAUCGCUGGUGACGCCGAGGUCCUGUUCGGUCUUGUUCCCUGUAUUAGGGAGAUCUGGGAUGGGAGAUAAGCUAAUGAUUCUCUUUCAAAACUUGCCCAAAGCUAAAAGGUUCAGGGAUAUAUGCGUCUACAACUCUGCAAUUUCUGGCCUUGCAUCCUGUGGGAGGUAUGAUGAUGCACAGAAAGUGUAUGACAUUCUUGAAGCCAACAAUAUUAAGCCAGAUCAUGUGACUUGUUCGAUUAUGUUAACUGUCAUGAGAAAGAGCGGUACAAAUGGAAAGGAUGCUUGGGAAUACUUUCAAAGAAUGAAUAGAAAAGGUGUCAAAUGGAGUUUGGAGGUUAUUGGAGCUCUAAUUAAGUUCUUUUGUGAUGAAGGAUUGAAGAAGGAAGCUCUCAUCAUUCAAGCAGAAAUGGAAAAGAAAGGAAUUACAUCAAAUAUCAUAAUUUACAACACCUUGAUGGAUGCUUAUAGUAAAUCUGACCAGGUUGAAGAGGUAGAAGGAAUCUUUCUUGAGAUGAAAGAAAAAGGACAAAAGCCAACAACGGUAACCUAUAACAUUUUAAUGGAUGCCUACAGCAGAAGGAUGCAACCUGAAAUAGUUGAUUCUCUAAUAUCUGAGAUGCAAAAUGUAGGCUUAAAGCCUAAUGUCAAAUCAUAUACUUGUCUUAUAAAUGCCUAUGGAAGGAAGGGGAAAAUGAGUGACAUGGCAGCAGACUCAUUCUUGCGGAUGAGAAAGGCAGGAAUUAAGCCCACAUCACACUCCUAUACUUCCUUGAUCCAUGCAUAUUCAGUUGGAGGAUGGCCUGAAAAAGCAUAUGCUACAUAUGAAAAAAUGAAAAGAGAUGGAGUUCCUCCCUCCAUAGAAGCUUAUACAACUUUGCUUGAUGCAUUUAGGCGAGUUGGCAACAUUGAUAGAUUAGUAGAAAUUUGGAAAGCAAUGAUCGGCGACAAGGUUCAAGGCACAAGAGUUACAUUUAAUAUUAUCCUGGAUGGUUUGGCAAAACAUGGUCUUUAUGUUCAAGCAAGAGAUGUGAUACAUGAAUUUCAAAAAUUUGGCUUGCAGCCAACAGUCAUGACUUAUAACAUGCUGAUGAAUGCAUAUGCAAGGGGAGGACAACACUAUAAAUUGCCACAAUUGUUGAAAGAGAUGGGUGCUCUCAAUUUGAAGCCUGAUUCAAUAACUUAUUCCACAAUAAUAUAUGCAUUUGUUCGUGUACGUGAUUUUAGUAGAGCAUUUUAUUAUCACAAGCAAAUGAUCAGAAGCGGGCAGGUUCCUGAGGUUCGAUCCUAUCAGAAAUUGCGAGCUAUUUUGGAAGUCAAAGCUACAACAAAAAAUAGGAGAGAUAGAAGUGCUAUUCUUGGAAUACUAAAUAGCAAUUUUGGAUUAAAACCCAAGAAGGGGAAAAAGGAUGCAUUCUGGAAGAACAGAAAAAAGAGAUUAAUGAGGAACAGGGAGCUUGGUGAUAAAAGAGUAAUCUUGUGAAAGUCUUGUAAAAAUCAAGCAUACGAUGAACAUGCUCUGGCCCAUGUUUCUUCUUCAUGAGAACACUAGCUCUAGACGAGAUGGAAUCUCAGAUCAAGUACAAACCAGAAGGGCAUUUAAUCUCCAAACAAUUUGCACAAGGAUUUUUCACCUGUUCUUUGAAGAAGAAGAUUGCUCCUAAGUGGAUAGGUUGUUGAUUAUCUAUUUUAUUUCUGUUAUGUAUAAUUCUGAGGACUUUGCUGUUUUAAAUGCUCCUGAAGAACCUGUUGCAGUGGGGUUACCUGCCUCCGGUGUUGAUAUAACUGUUGGUGAUACUUCUAAACUGGUUCUGGGUCGUGUUUUGGAUGAUGGCAUUGCAUGUAACAAUAGUUUUACUUGUUUGGACUUCCCUUCCAUGGAUGAAUUCUACAAUUGAUGACUUUUGUAUGUUCCAUGAUCCUUGGCCCUCUAAGAUUGAUCUAUCAGGUGGUGAUGGUGUGAAUUGCUUCGGGAAUUGUCACGAAUGGGAAAAGAUGUAUAAGAAUUCUGCUGGGCCUUUUCAUUGUGGGAGCUCUCAAAUGCUCUCUUUGUUGCAAUAAAGGAACUAAUAUAUGAAGUCCUAUAAUCCGGAUGGCAUUUUCAUUUUGGAAACUCAUGUUUGUGAGAAUAAGGCUGCUGGAAUUUCCAAGCUGAUUUCUGAUUGUUUUUCGUUAUGGAGGUAUUGAAGAUGAUCCAGAAGGAGAAUAUGGUUGCUAUGGAAUUAUAUAUCAAGUUUAUCAGGGGAUUUGGAAGGCUUCUGUCACUGAUGGAUUUGGUAGACAACCCUCCAAAGGCAAGUUUGAAGUGGUCAAGGGAGUUGGGGGAGUUCUCAAACUGAAAGAUGAAUUGUUGACUAAUCCUGAACUUGAGGAGUCUCAUAUGAGAAAAAAAAAAAAUCCUGUGAUAAUGUUUUUCUCUUGGAGAUUCUAAUUCGAAAUGUUAUUGAUUCUAAGACAUGGUAAGAAGCCAUCUAAAGGGAUCAAA